GGAAAUUGAACUUAAAUCCUUAAUCGUUUGCUAGAUUUUUCUUGUGAGUGACCUGGCAGAGAUUGAUCGAGGAAUUGUAUUUCC
rnacentral:pre_miRNA from 1 species